AAUCAACUGACAAGUCUCAAAUAGGACGAAACAUGCGUCCUGAAU
rnacentral:hammerhead_ribozyme from 1 species